GUCGAGCGGUAAGGCCCUUCGGGGUACACGAGCGGCGAACGGGUGAGUAACACGUGGGUGAUCUGCCUUGCACUUCGGGAUAAGCCUGGGAAACUGGGUCUAAUACCGGAUAUGACCCUGGAAUGCAUGUUCUGGGGUGGAAAGAUUUAUCGGUGCGAGAUGGGCCCGCUGGCCUAUCAGCUUGUUGGUGAGGUAACGGCUCACCAAGGCGACGACGGGUAGCCGACCUGAGAGGGUGACCGGCCACACUGGGACUGAGACACGGCCCAGACUCCUACGGGAGGCAGCAGUGGGGAAUAUUGCACAAUGGGCGAAAGCCUGAUGCAGCGACGCCGCGUGCGGGAUGACGGCCUUCGGGUUGUAAACCGCUUUUGACAGGGACGAAGCGCAAGUGACUGUACCUGUAGAAUAAGGACCGCCAACUCGUGCCACAGCA
rnacentral:rRNA from 1 species